GACGAACGCUGGCGGCGUGCUUAACACAUGCAAGUCGAGCGGUAAGGCCCUUUCGGGGUACGACGAGCGGCGAACGGGUGGAGUAACACGUGGGUGGACCUGCCCUCCAGCUCUGGGAGUAAGCCUGGGAAACCGGGUACGUAAUACUGGAUAUGACUCCAUGACGCAUGUUGUGGGGUGGAAAGACCUUGUGCGGCUGAGGAUGGGCCCGCGGCCUAUCAGCUUGUUGGUGGGGUGAUGGCCUACCAAGGCGACGA
rnacentral:rRNA from 1 species